AAGUCCUUCGGGAUGAGUAAAGUGGCGCACGGGUGAGUAACACGUGGGUAACCUACCCUUAAGACAGGGAUAACCUUUCGAAAGAAGGGCUAAUACCAGAUAAGACCACAGAAAUUGCGAUUUCAGUGGUCAAAGGGAGCUUAUGGUUUCGCUUUUGGAUGGGCCUGCGUCGCAUUAGCUUGAUGGUAGGGUAACGGCCUACCAUGGCUACGAUGCGUAGCUGGUCUGAGAGGACGACCAGCCACACUGGAACUGAAACACGGUCCAGACUCCUACGGGAGGCAGCAGUGGGGAAUAUUGGACAAUGGGGGAAACCCUGAUCCAGCAACGCCGCGUGGGUGAUGAAGGCCUUCGGGUCGUAAAGCCCUGUUGAGGGGGAAGAAGUCUUGAAGUAACGAUUCAAGAUUGACGUUACCCCUUGAGGAAGCACCGGCUAACUCUGUGCCAGCAGCCGCGGUAAUACAGAGGGUGCAAGUGUUGUUCGGAAUUAUUGGGCGUAAAGGGCGCGUAGGCGGUUUGGUCAGUCAGGUGUGAAAGCCCUAGGCUUAACCUAGGAACUGCAUUUGAUACUGCC
rnacentral:rRNA from 1 species